CAUAUAGUGGACCGCAACAGUUCCGUGAUGGCGAAGAGCAGCAAUAUUAAUAUUGAAAGUAUUUUUGAGGAAUACCUGCAAAAAGAACAGCAAUUCGAACAGGAAAUAGAAGAACGUAAUAAAUUACGUUGUGAUAUUCGCAAUAGGAAUAUUCUCAACAUUUCCUACUCAUCUUCAACAAACUUUUCUUUAAACUUGGAAAAAUCACGCAUUCGUAACCAAGCUCUUUUAAAGGAUUUAGAGAUGUCUAGAGCACGUCUGAGAACUUACGCUUCUUAUACGCCUACCGAUGCAGAAUUACAGCAGAUUUCGUCGGCCUAUCGGACUCAUCUUCGCAGAACUGUCCAAGACACGGAAUCAUGAUAAACUCAUGCGAUUUCCAUGCGAUCGAUUACUCGUUGAUUCAUCUUUUCAACCUGAUAACUCGAGCCGAACGAACAAACUUUUAAAUGAAAAGUUUGUUGAUCGUUGGGAUCGAUGGAUCGGGUUGAUUACUGUGUGAACUAUUUCAUGACGUGGCCGAUUCUUCGUAUGGCGAGAGAACUGAUCCAUAAAAUAUGCAAAACAAAAUUUGGAUGGACUGGACUACAUACGAAAUGUAACGUGAAUUCGAAGUUUUCGAGGUAUAAUUUCGUAUUUCUACGUGGCAUGUACAGCUAUAACAGCUGAGUAAACGAAAUAACGCUCUGUGGCUUCUUACUUUGACCAUUGUGACGCCCGCAAACAUCUGUAUCAACAGCCUCAUUAUCUCGAAGAUACCAUUUCUUUCACGGUUUGGUCAGAGAUCCCGCGACUCCCCACGAAUCCAUAAAUUUCUUUUUCUCGAAAUUGAGACCAAAUAAAGAUUGGUUUGUUCCUAAAAAAAUCUAAAUAAAAUUUUCUUUUUAAUCUAAAUAAAUCGAAAAAUCUGAACCUAAAUAUGUAUUACAAUAUUUGACAAGAGAGGACUUGAAUACAGGUUGAAAUUAAUACCGCCCGCUUUUUUAUUGUGAUUAGUGAGUGCACCUGUAUCAUUUAAAAUUUAUAUCACAAGUAUCUACACUUGUCGAUACGUUAUAAUCUGCAUGUUGUACAUCGUUAUUUGAGUUUUAAAAUAAUUUUAUAUUAUUGCGUUAUUACAAUAACGCAAUAAUAUAAUUUUUACAUUAUUACUACGACUUUGCGCAACGCUAUAAAAACGUAUGGCUUUUUUAUGAACUUAUUUAUCUGGAGCACGUGUUUUGGAUCACGCUUUUGAGCCACUAAGAUGUUUUAUGGAAUUGAUAUAGAAUAUCGCGGUUUCUUAUGUUUAUUGUGUGUCAUAUAAGCUUAAACUUAACCGAUGCAAGUUUUUUGUAACUGACCAGAUAGACUGUCAACUGACUGUCGAGUAUUAAUGUAUUAUUGUCACCGCCAGUGUUUAUUGGACGAUAAACGUAUGACGUUUACUGUCCUUGGUAUAUGCAAUGUAGAUCAAGACAUUUAUAUAAAUUUUUCAUUCUAUGUUUCUCUUCAUAGCAAACUUGACUGAAGAAUAAAGAAUAAAGAACCGUAAGUUUUGUUAUACAAGUGAAAUAAAAAUCUAAAAAAAUUAUAUCUGUUUUAAUUGAUCUAUUUGUUCUAUAAUCACUUAAUUGUAUAUCGCAAUAAAUGUUGUAAAUAUAUUAUAAAACUAUAUUUUUUUAACAUUAUAAAUUUUUUAAUAACGAAAGUUAUUACAAUACUUAUACUGCGCUUUUUAAAUAAUAAAAGUUGUGAAUAUUAAUUUAUUAUUUGAAUAAUUAAUACGUAAGGUGAACGUAAGGUUCAAAAUUCGCGAAUCAAACUAUAACAAUAAAAUUCUUGAAAAAUAUAUAAAAUUAUGUAAAAUAAUUGCUUAAAUUUACAAUCAUCAGUAUAUGCUGUGCGCCGAUAAAUUCAUCAGUCUUACAACAGUUUUUUUUACCGGAAUAUAUAUAUUAUUAAUUAAAUUGAAGCACGUGUAUUCAAAUACUUAAUAGAAAAUUUUUAUUACCAGCUCGAAUGAUUUUUAAAAUUAUAAGAAAUAUGUAUAUUUAAUAUCGCCUGUAUGAGCCAACACUAUAGAUGUUCGCGUAUAUAAUUAAUUACUUAAUUUAUAAUCAUCAGCAUACUAUGUAACUAUAUACUAUACGUCGACAAAUUCAUCUUACAAGUUUUUUUUUACCGGAAUAUAUAAAUUAAAUUAAUUAGCAAUUUAAUAUCUUUUUGAUACUAACAAGCAUCUAUAAAAUGUUACCCAAUUAAAUCUUGGGAUGGAAUUCAUAGAUCGAUCUUAAGUUCAAGAAUCGUCUUAAGUCUAGCCACGAGAGACUCUAGAAAAAAACGGUAAAGAAAUUAUUGUGAAAAAUAAAACCUCAAUCAGGGUUUGAACCUGGAUCUUUCAUUAUUCCGUGAGAGCGUUCUAGCCAAUUCGAUCAGCGAGGCAUAUGGUGAUACUUCUCGCAGUAACCAAUAUAUAUCUAAACAAAUGGGAUAACGCACACUUUUCAGUUUUCAGUAUAUUCAAAUGCUAAAUAGAAAAUUGUUUUUAUUACCGGCUGUAUAAUUAAUCACUUAAAUUUACAAUUAGUAUACACGCAAACAUCUAGUGUCUGCUCAUAAAAAUUAAAUAUACAUAUUUCUGAUUUUUAAAAUUAUUCGAGCCGGUAACAAAAAUUUUCUAUUAAGUAUAAGAUAAUUGUAAAUUAUUAAAAAAUUUUUGAGAUAAGUUUAAAAUCGAAAAAUCAAAUUAAAAACGCUUAAUAAAAUGUGAUAAGUUGCACAAGAGAUAAUAUUAGUGACAGACAAACAUAAUCUUUGAUUAAUUAACUUUAAAUUUUGUAUUUCAAAUUUUUCAUAUAUAUUGUAUCUCAAAAGUUUAUUACUUUAAAUAAAAAUCGACAAACGUAUAAUUUUUGCUCAGUUUUUCGAGAACUUUCUUAUCAUAGUAUUUUAUUUCUUUAUUUUAUCUCUAAUUUUGAGAGAACUUGUAUAAGAAUAACAGGCUAAUAUCGUAUGUACUAGGAUAAAAUAAUUUUAUUCUAACGUAUUAGUUAAUUUGUUGUAUAUCAUAAAUUUAUUGUCUUUUUAAAAAAACACAAAAAGAUAUUAAUAUUAAAUAAUUUAUUAACUAUCAUGUAAAAGCAAUAUUAGACAAUGACAAAAAUUGUAAUUUAUAACAUAUACAAUAAUUAUGUUUUUAAUUUAUACGUAUUUCUUGAUAUUCGUUUAUCACAGCACUAAUUGUGCUAACAGCACCCUAUUUUCAUGUAUAAACAAAUAAAAUAA